rnacentral:misc_RNA from 1 species
AGUAAAUAAUCAAAAAUAAAUUGUAUUGAAUUAAUAUAAUUUGUAAUACAUUAGAGAACAAUUGUCAACAGUUUUUAUUCUCCAGUUAGCAAACCCUCAGGAUGAAAACUUUUGAACUUAUAGUUCUCCUGGUUAUAUGUUCAGCUGCUCUUACCUCUGGGAAGAAAUACCUAAUACAUACCCAACAUGAUUCCCAGCCACCCCCGCCUAUGAUGAAACCUGGGAAUGGAACUGGGAAUGGAACAACUGGAGAGGAUUACUGGUGGGGGGGAUGGGGGAAUAGGGGUGGUUGGGGUUGGGGGAGAAGAGGAUGGGGAUGGGGCAGAAGAUAAAAUUAUUAUUUUGGUGAAAAAUUAGAACUCGUUCAUUAAUAUCUAUAGUAAUUAUUAUAAAUUAAAUUAUAUUAAUAAAAUUACGAUUAUGUACAGAAUAAAAAUUUA